CGUAGGUGGCAAGCGUUACUCGGAAUCACUAGGCGUAAAGCGCAGGUAGGAGGUUUGGUAAGUCUGUUGUGAAAGCUCCCGGCUCAACUGGGAGAGGUCAACGGAAACUACCAGGCUUGAGUGUGGUAGAGGUAGCUGGAAUUCCCGGUGUAGCGGUGAAAUGCGUAGAUAUCGGGAGGAAUACCUAUGGCGAAAGCAGGCUACUGGACCAUCACUGACCCUGAUCUGCGAAAGCUAGGGGAGCAAACAGGAUUAGAUACCCUGGUAGUCCUAGCCCUAAACGAUGCUCAUUAGGUGUGGGAGGUAUCGACCCCUUCCGCGCCGUAGCUAACGCAUUAAAUGAGCCGCCUGGGGAGUACGGCCGCAAGGUUG
rnacentral:rRNA from 1 species